rnacentral:rRNA from 1 species
GACGAACGCUGGCGGCGUGCCUAAUACAUGCAAGUCGAACGCAGUGGGGACGGGUGAGUAACACGUGGGUAACCUCCCAUCAGAGGGGAGAACCCUUGGAAACAGGUGCUAAAACCGCAACCGAUGGAUGGACUCGCUGUGCAUUAGCUAGUUGGUGGGGUAAAGGCUCACCAAGGCCACGAUGCCUAGCCGGCCUGAGAGGAUGAUCAGCCACACUGGGACUGAGACACGGCCCAGACUCCUACGGGAGGCAGCAGUGGGGAAUCUUCGGCAAUGGACGAAAGUCUGACCGAGCAACGCCGCGUGAGUGAAGAAGGUUUUCGGAUCGUAAAACUCUGUUGUUAGAGAGGCGGUAUCUAACCAGAAAGCCACGGCUAACUACGUGCCAGCAGCCGCGGUAAUUC